CCUACGGGAGGCAGCAGUGGGGAAUUUUGGACAAUGGGGGCAACCCUGAUCCAGCCAUUCCGCGUGAGUGAAGAAGGCCUUCGGGUUGUAAAGCUCUUUCAGCAGGAACGAAACGGUGGUCCCUAAUACGGGCUACUAAUGACGGUACCUGAAGAAGAAGCACCGGCUAACUACGUGCCAGCAGCCGCGGUAAUA
rnacentral:rRNA from 1 species